CACAUUGCUUUUAUGAGCUGUACCACUCACCGUGAAGAUCUGCAGCUUCACUUCAGAGCCUAGCGAGACCACAAGCUCACUGAGAGGAACAAACAACUCCAGACGCGCUGUCUUAAGAGCUAUAACACUCACCGCGAAGGUGUGCAGUUUCACUCCUGAGCUAGUGAGACUACGAAGCCACUGGAACGAAGAAACUCCAACCACGUUUGAACAUCAGAAGGGGCAGACUCCAGACGCUUCAUCUUAAGAGCUGUAACACUCACUGUGAAGGUCUGCAGCUUCACUCCUGAGCCAGCGAGACCACGAACCGAUCUGAACAUCAGAAGGGACAGACUCCAGAUGCCCCACCUUAAGAGCUGUAAUACUCACUGCAAGGGUCUGCAGCUUCAUUCUUGAAGUCAGACCAAGAACCCAGCAAUUCCCAACACACAGGGACCAGCUUCUUUCCUAACUCACUUAGGCUCUUCGUGCUGCUCUGGCAACUAACACCCUUGGCUGCAGGGGCUUGGACACUACCCUUAGUCACUGACAAUUGUGUGAAGGCUGCUGUCGUUAACUUCACUUGAUCACCUUAGGCUCCUGUGAAGUGGUGAGCAAUUCAAACAAAUUCCUGUCGUCAAAUCAUAAUCCUGAUUUUGUUUGGAAGGACAGCGUGCCUGGUUCCAGGACUUGAAUCAUUCGUUUGUCCAGCAUCUCCAUGCUGUGUACGCUACCCGCCUGUUAGUCAUUGACACUGUCUGCUCCUGACAUCCACCCAUCAAUAUUGUCAUUGCUCAAUGAUCCAGGAUCACCGAGAGCAGAUGAGCCUCCUGAUGCAUGGUCAGAAGGUCAAUAGUAGCUUACUUCUCCGUCACAACGCCUGAGUUAUUCACCUCACCUCACCUCAUCACAUGGCCAUUUGAAUCAUCUUAUAUCAUCACAAGAAGAAAGAUGGAGAAAUUGCACUGCAGAGAAAUCUUUAAAAGCAAUUACCUAAUACUGCAGAUUGCUGAACUGUACCCACACCCAAGACUGAGCAUUGGAUCAAUCCAGAAUAUACAUCAGGUGUUCUGCAAUGUCUGCCUAAAACCAUGACUCUGCCUCCUCCAGCUGUUGCUACAUCUCACUAUGGGUUUCCUGUGACAUUUUGAGCAAGUAUGCCUCUGUGACUGGGGUUCUUACACUCCAGAAUGGAUGAGAAGCACCGUAAGUGGCUUUUAAAAUGAAUAUUCCCUGGCCCUUCAGUCGCUCUAUAGGUCAAGAAUCUGAAUUCUCAACCUGUCUAGAAGGUUCUGGUUUUAAUGGUCUGUGGGCUGCACAUUGAGAAACCUGUUCAGCGAGUGCAACAAAGGUUCCACAUGUGAGAAAGGAAGCAUCAGGUCUCUUGAGCCUGUUCUUUAAUCUGUAGGCUGCACCUUCUCUUUAAAUUCUGCUAAUAACACCAUGCGAGAAAACACCCGAGCUUGAAAAGCCCAUGUUCCAACAUAACUGUCCUUCACCACUCUGGAAAAUUAAUGGUUUGUUUCGAUUAUCCCUUUGUUAAACUCCAAAGUCAAAGAGCUCUGAAAGGCAUACGGUUAUUUUAAGUUUCAGGUGAUUUCUGUUGCCAAAUAUUUUAAAAAUUUAAAAUUGCUACGUGACCUCUUAGUAGUACUAUUAGAUUUCCUGACAAUAAAAAUAAGUCUUUUGGUUUCACCAUUUAUAGUUAGUACAGCUAAUAUUAAGUAUAAUUUUAAAAGCCUUUUAUUUUCUCAGAAAGAAAAAAUAAUCAAAAUCUGCUCAGUGUGGUAUUGAAUAAUUAAAAACAAAAGAACAGUAUCUUCACAUUAGUGUUUAAUAUUAAUUGCUUUUUUACCCUUGACACUGGUGCUAAUUAAAUUUUCAUUUUAUUUUCCAUGAC
ensembl:lncRNA novel transcript